rnacentral:lncRNA from 1 species
UUCAACAGAAAAAAAGUCUCACAAUAACAAUCGAACAUUACCAAAUUAUAUUUUUCUUUUACCUGACCAUUAUUCUAGCUUUCAACUUAUAUCUGGUAAAUUCGGAAAACAUCCUCAAACAUUGACGAGUACUCAACCUGUCUCUCAGCUUACUUUGACUCACUUAAUGGAUAGGUUUAUCUCUCAAUCAAUAUGCAAAAUCAAUUAUGCUUAUCUUGAUCAUGUUCUAACAUAGUUAAUCAUAGAAAUCACAAC